rnacentral:rRNA from 1 species
GGUGAGUAACACGUGGGUAACCUGCCUGUAAGACUGGGAUAACUCCGGGAAACCGGGGCUAAUACCGGAUGGUUGUUUGAACCGCAUGGUUCAGACAUAAAAGGUGGCUUCGGCUACCACUUACAGAUGGACCCGCGGCGCAUUAGCUAGUUGGUGAGGUAACGGCUCACCAAGGCGACGAUGCGUAGCCGACCUGAGAGGGUGAUCGGCCACACUGGGACUGAGACACGGCCCAGACUCCUACGGGAGGCAGCAGUAGGGAAUCUUCCGCAAUGGACGAAAGUCUGACGGAGCAACGCCGCGUGAGUGAUGAAGGUUUUCGGAUCGUAAAGCUCUGUUGUUAGGGAAGAACAAGUGCCGUUCAAAUAGGGCGGCACCUUGACGGUACCUAACCAGAAAGCCACGGCUAACUACGUGCCAGCAGCCGCGGUAAUACGUAGGUGGCAAGCGUUGUCCGGAAUUAUUGGGCGUAAAGGGCUCGCAGGCGGUUUCUUAAGUCUGAUGUGAAAGCCCCCGGCUCAACCGGGGAGGGUCAUUGGAAACUGGGGAACUUGAGUGCAGAAGAGGAGAGUGGAAUUCCACGUGUAGCGGUGAAAUGCGUAGAGAUGUGGAGGAACACCAGUGGCGAAGGCGACUCUCUGGUCUGUAACUGACGCUGAGGAGCGAAAGCGUGGGGAGCGAACAGGAUUAGAUACCCUGGUAGUCCACGCCGUAAACGAUGAGUGCUAAGUGUUAGGGGGUUUCCGCCCCUUAGUGCUGCAGCUAACGCAUUAAGCACUCCGCCUGGGGAGUACGGUCGCAAGACUGAAACUCAAAGGAAUUGACGGGGGCCCGCACAAGCGGUGGAGCAUGUGGUUUAAUUCGAAGCAACGCGAAGAACCUUACCAGGUCUUGACAUCCUCUGACAAUCCUAGAGAUAGGACGUCCCCUUCGGGGGCAGAGUGACAGGUGGUGCAUGGUUGUCGUCAGCUCGUGUCGUGAGAUGUUGGGUUAAGUCCCGCAACGAGCGCAACCCUUGAUCUUAGUUGCCAGCAUUCAGUUGGGCACUCUAAGGUGACUGCCGGUGACAAACCGGAGGAAGGUGGGGAUGACGUCAAAUCAUCAUGCCCCUUAUGACCUGGGCUACACACGUGCUACAAUGGACAGAACAAAGGGCAGCGAAACCGCGAGGUUAAGCCAAUCCCACAAAUCUGUUCUCAGUUCGGAUUCGCAGUCUGCAACUC